rnacentral:rRNA from 1 species
GCUGGAAGCGAUCAGGACUGAGAAAUGCAGUGUCACUUGAGCCGUGGGGGCUUUGAACAGAUUGCUUUCUUUCCUC